CCUACGGGUGGGCAGCAGUGGGGAAUAUUGGACAAUGGGCGAAAGCCUGAUCCAGCCAUGCCGCGUGUGUGAAGAAGGCCUUCGGGUUGUAAAGCACUUUCAGUGGGGAAGAAAGCCUUGGGGCUAAUACCCUCGAGGAAGGACAUCACCCACAGAAGAAGCACCGGCUAACUCCGUGCCAGCAGCCGCGGUAAUACGGAGGGUGCGAGCGUUAAUCGGAAUUACUGGGCGUAAAGCGCGCGUAGGCGGUCUGAUAAGCCGGUUGUGAAAGCCCCGGGCUCAACCUGGGAACGGCAUCCGGAACUGUCAGGCUAGAGUGCAGGAGAGGAAGGUAGAAUUCCCGGUGUAGCGGUGAAAUGCGUAGAGAUCGGGAGGAAUACCAGUGGCGAAGGCGGCCUUCUGGACUGACACUGACGCUGAGGUGCGAAAGCGUGGGUAGCAAACAGGAUUAGAUACCCGUGUAGUC
rnacentral:rRNA from 1 species